rnacentral:rRNA from 1 species
GAAUGCUGACAUAAGUAACGAUAAAGCGGGUGAAAAGCCCGCUCGCCGGAAGACCAAGGGUUCCUGUCCAACGUUAAUCGGGGCAGGGUGAGUCGACCCCUAAGGCGAGGCCGAAAGGCGUAGUCGAUGGGAAACGGGUUAAUAUUCCCGUACUUGGUGUUACUGCGAAGGGGGGACGGAGAAGGCUAUGUUGGCCGGGCGACGGUUGUCCCGGUUUAAGCGUGUAGGCUGGUUUUCCAGGCAAAUCCGGAAAAUCAAGGCUGAGGCGUGAUGACGAGGCACUACGGUGCUGAAGCAACAAAUGCCCUGCUUCCAGGAAAAGCCUCUAAGCAUCAGGUAACAUCAAAUCGUACCCCAAACCGACACAGGUGGUCAGGUAGAGAAUACCAAGGCGCUUGAGAGAACUCGGGUGAAGGAACUAGGCAAAAUGGUGCCGUAACUUCGGGAGAAGGCACGCUGACACGUAGGUGAAGUGAUUUACUCAUGGAGCUGAAGUCAGUCGAAGAUACCAGCUGGCUGCAACUGUUUAUUAAAAACACAGCACUGUGCAAACACGAAAGUGGACGUAUACGGUGUGACGCCUGCCCGGUGCCGGAAGGUUAAUUGAUGGGGUCAGCGCAAGCGAAGCUCCUGAUCGAAGCCCCGGUAAACGGCGGCCGUAACUAUAACGGUCCUAAGGUAGCGAAAUUCCUUGUCGGGUAAGUUCCGACCUGCACGAAUGGCGUAAUGAUGGCCAGGCUGUCUCCACCCGAGACUCAGUGAAAUUGAACUCGCUGUGAAGAUGCAGUGUACCCGCGGCAAGACGGAAAGACCCCGUGAACCUUUACUAUAGCUUGACACUGAACAUUGAGCCUUGAUGUGUAGGAUAGGUGGGAGGCUUUGAAGUGUGGACGCCAGUCUGCAUGGAGCCGACCUUGAAAUACCACCCUUUAAUGUUUGAUGUUCUAACGUGGACCCGUUACCCGGGUUGCGGACAGUGUCUGGUGGGUAGUUUGACUGGGGCGGUCUCCUCCUAAAGAGUAACGGAGGAGCACGAAGGUUGGCUAAUCCUGGUCGGACAUCAGGAGGUUAGUGCAAUGGCAUAAGCCAGCUUGACUGCGAGCGUGACGGCGCGAGCAGGUGCGAAAGCAGGUCAUAGUGAUCCGGUGGUUCUGAAUGGAAGGGCCAUCGCUCAACGGAUAAAAGGUACUCCGGGGAUAACAGGCUGAUACCGCCCAAGAGUUCAUAUCGACGGCGGUGUUUGGCACCUCGAUGUCGGCUCAUCACAUCCUGGGGCUGAAGUAGGUCCCAAGGGUAUGGCUGUUCGCCAUUUAAAGUGGUACGCGAGCUGGGUUUAGAACGUCGUGAGACAGUUCGGUCCCUAUCUGCCGUGGGCGCUGGAGAACUGAGGGGGGCUGCUCCUAGUACGAGAGGACCGGAGUGGACGCAUCACUGGUGUUCGGGUUGUCAUGCCAAUGGCACUGCCCGGUAGCUAAAUGCGGAAGAGAUAAGUGCUGAAAGCAUCUAAGCACGAAACUUGCCCCGAGAUGAGUUCUCCCUGAGACUUAGAGUCUCCUGAAGGAACGUUGAAGACGACGACGUUGAUAGGCCGGGUGUGUAAGCGCAGCGAUGCGUUGAGCUAACCGGUACUAAUGAACCGUGAGGCUUAACCUU